CCAAUAGCGUAUAUUAAAGUUGUUGCAGUUAAAAAGCUCGUAGUCGAAUUUCGGGAUCAAUAUGUCGGUCGUGCCUCCGGUACGUACUGGCAUCAUUGAUUUCUCCCUUCUGACGAACCAUGAUGUCAUUAAUUUGGUGUCAUGGGGAGUCAGGACUGUUACUUUGAAAAAAUUAGAGUGUUUAAAGCAGGCUCACGCUUGAAUACAUUAGCAUGGAAUAAUGAAAUAGGACGUUUGACCCUAUUUUGUUGGUUUCUAGGAUCAACGUAAUGAUUAAUAGGGAUAGUUGGGGGCAUUAGUAUUCAAUUGUCAGAGGUGAAAUUCUUGGAUUUAUUGAAGACUAACUACUGCGAAAGCAUUUGCCAAGGAUGUUUUCAUUAAUCAAGAACGAAAGUUAGGGGAUCGAAGACGAUCAGAUACCGUCGUAGUCUUAACCAUAAACUAUGCCGACUAGGGAUCGGAUGAUGUUAAUUUUUUAAUGACUCAUUCGGCGCCUUACG
rnacentral:rRNA from 1 species